GCUUCAGUUCAUUAAUGGCUGACAGCAUUUCAGGUGUCCAGGUCACCUGGUUGGCUGUUUAGGCGAGGAGGCUUCACAAAGAGGAGCAUCAAUAACGCGGUAGUUGGGUAUCCAGUAUCUACAGUAGUUAACCAUGCCCAAAAAAAGACAAAAGUUCAGUCCAUGUAGUAGGCGGAGAGAGGCUGACAAUAGCGGUGAUAUGGUUGAGAGACAGGGAUCAAAAGCCGUGCAAAGGUUUGAAGCCUAAGUAUUGCACUGACUGUAGGCAGAGCUGCAUCUUUUCAACAGAAACCUUGUGGCCAUCCUGGGCCAGGCAACGGAGCAGGGCAAUCGCAUCUUGCAUACAAACAGCAGGCGAGUCAGAGGUUACUAAUAAAUCAUCAGCGUGUUGGACCAAGGUACUGUUAGACAGGAGGUGGAGAUCCUUGAGGGUCCAGUGGACCGCCAAGGCAGAGGGCUGUGUAUAUACCCUUGGGGAAGCCGAGUCCAUGUAUAUUGGCAACCGCCGUAAAUAAAGGCGAAAAGGUGAAAUAUACAUGGACUAAAAUCAUAGUUCCUCUGGCUCCACGUAGGACAAUGGGCAGCAAGGCUCUGCCAUCAGCCCUGUUGUAUCACAAUUUCUAUUGCUUAAGCCCAGUGUUAUCCCACGCAUGGAGAUCCUUCUUAAAAUUACUUUGCCAGAUGGAAUAUCACAAAGAGUUAAAGCUUGUGGGCUUUUAUUUCAACUUACCAUCCCGAUGGGAGAUCCCAGGUCCUAAUGGUGCAGUCCAUUGACGCAGA